UUCUCAGACUGUGUCUCCACGUUCAGUGACAUAUGACUAUUUUGUUGAUGCUGGUGCUAUGGCAUCCCAAGUCCUUGUAUAUGCGUGGAGAGACUGGCUGGCUCUCACAAACUCAUUUCUUCUUCCUAGGCCCAGAGCUACACAGUUUCCCAGCCUCCUUGCCUCCAAAUGGGACAGAAUUAAAUAUGUCACUUCCAGACCUGGGCAGCUGGGAGCAAGGAUGUCUUCACCUCUCUCUUCUUGCUCCCUCUUCAUUACUGAACCCACCCCCAAGUCCAACACCUGAAAGCCAAUAACUCAACAGUGAAAAUGAAGGAGUUCUGGAUUUGCCACCCUAAAACAUGUCAGUCUGACAUACUGAGUCUUUUGAGGUAAAGACACUGGAAAAAUAGCAAAUAGGUCAUUCUGUUCUUCUUUCUUCUCAAAAGCAAAGCUUGAAAUUUCCUUAUGGAAGAAUCUGCUAUGGCUUGAAUAUGUUUUUUUUUUUUUUUUUACCAAAAUGUACAUUCAGAUUUAACUGUCACCAUAUAUUGGGGCUCUGAAGAGUGUUAUGGAUUAAUGCUUAUCUUGUGGGGAUGGGGGGGCAGAGUAGUUAUCAUGGGACGCCGGUUCUCUCUGGCACACAUGCUUCCUUUCAUAAGAGCCUGUGUGCCCUUUUUGUCAUGAAACCCCCAGCAGAAACAAAGCAGAUUGUAAUGCCAUGCUUCUGCACUUCCAGAACCACGAGCCAAAAUAAACCUCUUCCCUUUAUAAAUUGCCCAGUUUCAGGUGUUCUGGUACAGGAAUAGAAAACUGAAGACAGAAGGGAAAUCUGUGCCAACAUAGCUUAUAAAACUAACCCUCACUUUUCUAGUCACUUCUCUGCCACUGAAAGGGAAAUUAAAAUUUUAAAUAAAGCGUGCCAAGAGUGCCUGCCAAAACCAGAUGGACAUGUCCAGAAAAGUCUGAUAAUGGGACAUUUCUUCCUUUGUGCAACCCAUACUUGUUUAACUGAUGGCCUUGCAGUGUAAUUUCAAUGUAAUAGGACAUUUCUUCCUUUGUGUAACCCAACUUGAGAUGUUUAAAUUCCCUUAGUAACCCGUGAUGUCACCCAACCUUCCAAUCACAAUGUGCCAAAUCUGCCUUUGUACCGCCCCACUUGCCCUCCCUAUAAAAGUCCCAGAACCCUGCUAGGCAGGGCUGACAGAGAUCCCAGUCAGGCCCACCAGUGUAAUAAACUGCCUCCUAAACCUUC